CGCCAGCCUGGGGUCGGUGCAAUUGAUAAUCACAAGUCACAACACCAACUCUGACAGCGCCUGAUCAUGUCAUCUAAAUUUACACAGUGCAAGGGAACUAUGACAGCCCAUACUCCAUUAAGCCGUCCCUGAGGGAGAACUACCGGCCGCGCACCAGGUCCCUCAGCUCUCCCAAGAUGCAUCACGUCAGGUUCACCAAGACCACAGAGACCCUGGCGAUGCAACGCUACAUCAGACAGGCGGGCGUGGGGCUGAGCGUGUGCCUGUGCACCCUGAUGACCUACAAGCAUUGAGAGGUGCUGCACUCGUGGGCGUCGCUGCUGAGCCGCUACCCGGACGUCCUGCGCUUCCCCGCC